AUACGGAGGGUGCGAGCGUUAAUCGGAAUUACUGGGCGUAAGGGUUGCGUAGGCGGCUUGAUAAGUCGGAUGUGAAAGCCCCGGGCUUAACCUGGGAAUUGCAUUCGAUACUGUCAGGCUAGAGUAUGUCAGAGGUUGGCGGAAUUCCUGGUGUAGCGGUGAAAUGCGUAGAUAUCAGGAGGAACACCAGUGGCGAAGGCGGCUAACUGGGACAAUACUGACGCUGAGGCACGAAAGCGUGGGGAGCAAACAGGAUUAGAAACCCCUGUAGUCC
rnacentral:rRNA from 1 species